rnacentral:lncRNA from 10 species
GGUGUCUGGAGGUGAUCGGAAGGGACUGGCUGGAGUGUGGCGGGCUGACAGGUCUGAGGCCUGAAGGACUUCCGGGAACCGCAAAGCACGGUGUGCCUCCGCUGUCCUGAAGAAAAAGCCGCGCGCGGACGACUGGCCGGCCCGCGCUUGCAGCUCCCAGAAGUUGACAGGCAUCCUCCGGUGACCGGUGUGAGUAUGGCAUCAGGAUGAUUUGACUGCAAGCAACAGAAAAAUCAAACAAAAAUGGCCUAAGCCAAGAAGAGAAAUGAUUAUUUCACAUUCCAAGAAGUUUGGGAGUCGAGUGGUUAAACGGCUAAUUAAUCUAGAGCUCAACAGUAUCACCCAGGACCCAUUUUCACUAUGGUGGCUAAAGCUCUGCACCCUUCAGGCUUGCACCAUGGCAGCAGCAGUGACAGUAAAGACACCCUUACACCACAAUGCUCCAUGACCAGGGAGAGGGUCUCCUCUCUCCUGCCCCUUUCUGGAGGCUCCACCGAAGAUUUCUCUUCACAUUCCGUUUCUCAUUCCUGAAGCAGUUGCUGGCAACAGGGAUGGACUUACCGCAAUGGGUACAGAGCAACUAAGAUUCACCACUAGGUGAGUCCUUUGGAAAACACUUGGCCAUCCAAUAUAUAAACAAAUCUGGUACUCCUGUCAGGAAAGAGUGAACCAUUUAGGGAUGGCCACGUGACUCAGUUCUGGUCACCAAGGUGGUGGAAGAGAAGUUCUCUUGAGGGGCAUCUGGGAAAGAUUCUUCUGCCUGAUAAAACAGGAGGUAAGCAAGGGUUCUGCUCCCCCAUUUGUUUCUGCCUUUGAACGUGGCUGUGGGAAGACAUGAUGCUUAGUGUUGCUGCAGCUAUCUCAUGACCUUGGGCAAAACAUCCCAACACACAGGAGGGCCAAACAAGCAGUCAGAAGAAGCCUGAGUCUUGUGGGUGUUGUUGAGCAGCUGAACAAACCCUAGGAUGGCUUCCUUCCAGACUUCUUAGGAUUGCGAACAAUGAAGCUCUAUUGUUUAAGCAAGGUAUCGAUGGCUAUUUUCACUUGCCACUGAAAGCACCAGGACAGAGAAUCGUCUUUCUAGGAAUACAGCCACAAAAGCCUUCAUUAUGGUAUAUGCACAUAAAGAAUAUGGCAGCACUUUAUGGCUUCUCUUGGGCAUAUCCAAAUUGCUACCAUCACUACUCGUAUUAGUCCAUUUUCACGCUGCUGAUAAAGACAUACCUGAGACUGAGAAAUUUACCAAAUAAAGAGGUGUACUGGACUUACAGUUCCACAUGGCUGGGGAGGCCUCACAAUCAUGGUGGAAGGCAAGAAGGAGCAAGUCAUGUCUUACAUGGAUGGCAGCUGGCAAAGAGAAAGCUUGUACAGGGAGACUCCCGUUUUGAAAACCAUCAGAUCUUGUGAGACUCAUUCACUAUUACAAGAACAGUGCAGGAAAGAUGCACCCCUGUACUUCAAUCACCUCCCAGCAGGUUCCUCCCACGACAUGUGGGAAUUGUGGGAGUUACAAUUCAAGAUGAGAUUUGGUUGGGGACACAGCCAAACCAUAUCACUACUCUUGUGCUUUGGGGCCAUUAUGAAGUAAAACAAGCAUUAUUUGAACACAAGAACUGCAAUACCACCACAGUAGAUCUGAUAACUGUUGGCUACUAAGUGACUAAGGGGCAGGUGAAGUAUACAGCUUGGAUGCGAUGGACAAAGAGGAAGAUCUACCUCCCAGCUGGGAUGGAGCAGGACGAUGCAAGAUUUCAUCACACUACUCAGAAAGGCAUGCAGUUUAAAGCUCGUAAAUUAUUUCAGGAAUUUUCCAUUUAAUAUUUUCAGGCUGUGGCUGACCGUGAGUAACAAACCCAGGAAAGCGAAACUGCAGAACAGUGGAUGGGAGAAAGGGUGAAUUACUGUAUAUUCAUGAGGGAUAUUAGUCCAUAGUUUCUUUUUUCCCUUUUAACAAAUUUUUGGGUUUUGUAUAUAGUUUGUCUGGUUUUGGUAUCAGGGUAAUACUAGCUUCAUAAAAUGAAUUGGAAAGCGUUUCUUCUGUUUUCCUAAAAAGAUUAUAUGGAAUUAGCAUUCAUUCUUUAAACACUUGGUAGAAAUCUUAAGUAAAACCAUCUGAGCUCGGAGAUUUUUUUGUGUGUGUUAUAAAAUUACAUAUUCAGUUUCCUUAAUAUUUAUAAGAUCAUUUUAAUUAUCUGUGUUUUUCAGUGAAACGGGUCAAUUUUCUGUAUGUUGUCAAAUUAAUAUUUGUAGAAUUGUAUUAGUAUUCUUCAUUAUCCUUUUGAUGUCUGCAGAAUCUGUAAUGGUAUCCCUGUUUUAUUUCUGAUAUUAAUUUGUGCCAUUAUGUCUUUUUUUCUUUGUUGAUCUUGUCAGAAGUUUGUCAAUUUUAUCAAUUUGUUCCAAGAACCAGCUCAUU